AAAAAAGCAGGGGUUUGUUUAUCAUGUGGACUGACCUCUCGUAACCUUCAGGGAUAUAAUAUCCAUUGUUAUUGGGUGAACCUCUGUUCUUUUUAUUCUGACUGAAGGUUCAGUAAAUGAUGGAACAUGC
rfam:Cajanus cajan CcLG01_96, whole genome shotgun sequence.